AGAAACAAAACCAGAGGAGAAGAAUGGAGCUGGAUCGUCUGUGAAGACCCUGCCAGGCUGCAAAGAAGCAGCACUCGUAAUGCAGAGAAUGCAGCUGGAGGAGCUCUUUGAUUUAACUGUUGUUACUGAAAUCUGUGCAGCAUCAAGUGACUUAGAACAGGAAGUUAUCUUAGAAUUCUGGAAAGAUUCAAGAAUGUAUGUCUUCCUACUAGAUUGUAAGCUUGUCGGGGCCACAUCUAUCCUGUUUACUACUGAAUCCCAGCUGGCAGAAAGUAGACAUUUCACAAUAUUUUUGGAGCAAAUGCAUCAAUCAGACCAUCAUGUGUAAGGGAGGUCACAGGAUGAAGGAACAGUGUAGUGACCUGGAACACCAUGCCACGCUGCUGCAACUGUGUCGGUCCGUGGCUGUGUGUGCGUGCUCUGCACCCCUAGAUGAACUCACCAAACAGCAUCUACGGAAAAGCCCAUGGAACUGUUGCUGCCAAGCAAAGGUGAUUAAAUUUCUGUUUUUCAGUGGACUCCAUAUCUGUGUCAUCCAAGACGCUUACUGUUGACAUAAACCUGCUGCAUACGUAAGACUCUACUCAAUUUAUUUAAUUCUACAAAAGCUUACUGAAUAUUUUCUAUUCUAAUUGUGCUAGCAUUAUGAUCACAUCACAGGAGUCAAGGUAUUUGGAUGCAAUAUUUUGUUUUCUAGUCAUUCCUUUUUUUCUUUUUUUUUUUUUUUGAGAUGGUGUUUCACUCUUGUUGCCCAGGCUGGAGUGCAGUGGUGCAGUCUCAGCUCACUGCAACCUCCGCCUCCUGGGUUCAAGGAAUUCUCCUGCCUCAACCUCCCGAGUAGCUGGGACUACAGGUGCCCACCACCACACCUGGCUAAUUUUUGUAUUUUUAAUAGAAAUGAGGCUUCACCAUGUUGGCCAGGCUGGCCUCAAACUCCUGACCUCAGGUGAUCUGUCUGCCUCGGCCUCCCAAAGUGCUGGGAUUACAAACGUGAGCCACAGCGCCCGACUCAUUUCUUUAUUCAACAAAUAAUGUGAAGCUUUCACUAUAAGAUCAUAAGACACUGCUCUAACUACCACAGGAGGAAAAAGGGAUCAAUACAUUUCUGAUUUCAUAGAAAUAUAAUUUAGUUAGGGAGAUAAGAUAUGCAGACAUAACAUGUUUAACAUCAACACUGAAGUUUAAUAGCAACAUGAGCCAAUUAUAUAAAAACUCUUCUAUGAUUAAGUCACAUCAUCCUGGGCUUUUCCAGGCUCUCCCUGGGUCGGUGGGUUCACCCUCACAGGAAGCCGGGUUGUGCCAAAAGGAAAGUUUCAGAAAUAGGCUAGUGUUUGAAAAUGGGGCAAGUUCCUAGCCUCAACUGCUUCAUCUUAUAUACUCAUAGAGUGAUGGAGAAAUGUGUGUCUCCCUCUUUACCCCUCCCUUUUGUGUAGAAAAUGCCCUCAGUGGGCUCAGUGGGUAUCAGUGCCACAGGUGAACAUAGUAACCCUGACAGUCCCUUACAAGGUUGGCAGCGUGAAGCAGCACCUACCA